rnacentral:lncRNA from 1 species
AAAGACUUUAUCUGGUAAGAGCCAAUAUUAAAAUGUUAUCAAAAUGUUUUCACCAAUUAGCCAGGGAGUCUUCCCAGGACCAGUCCAGGCCUGCCUUCUGAGUAUCAAGAACAUUUUGCAUUGUACUGUCAGACCUGUUUUAGUGUCGCAGCACUGUGGAAGCCGAAUAAGGAGAAUCAG